rnacentral:rRNA from 1 species
AGAGUUUGAUCCUGGCUCAGAACGAACGCUGGCGGCAUGCCUAACACAUGCAAGUCGAACGAGACCGCUGACUUCGGUUGGCGCGUCUAGUGGCGCACGGGUGCGUAACGCGUGGGAAUCUGCCCUUGGGUUCGGGAUAACAGUUGGAAACGACUGCUAAUACCGGAUGAUGUCUUCGGACCAAAGAUUUAUCGCCCAGGGAUGAGCCCGCGUCGGAUUAGCUAGUUGGUGGGGUAAAAGCCUACCAAGGCGACGAUCCGUAGCUGGUCUGAGAGGAUGAUCAGCCACACUGGGACUGAGACACGGCCCAGACUCCUACGGGAGGCAGCAGUGGGGAAUAUUGGACAAUGGGCGAAAGCCUGAUCCAGCAAUGCCGCGUGAGUGAUGAAGGCCUUAGGGUUGUAAAGCUCUUUUACCCGGGAUGAUAAUGACAGUACCGGGAGAAUAAGCCCCGGCUAACUCCGUGCCAGCAGCCGCGGUAAUACGGAGGGGGCUAGCGUUGUUCGGAAUUACUGGGCGUAAAGCGUACGUAGGCGGCUUUGUAAGUUAGAGGUGAAAGCCCGGGGCUCAACCCCGGAAUUGCCUUUANGACUGCUUCGCUUGAAUCGUGGAGAGGUGAGUGGGAAUUCCGAGUGUAGACGUGAAAUUCGUCGAUAUCCGGAGGAACACCAGUGGCGAAGGCGACUCACUGGACAUGUAUNGGCGCUGAGGUACCAAAGCGUGGGGAGCCAACAGGAUGAGAUACCCUGUANUCAGGGGCAAAUUCCGCCACCU